UACGUAGGGGGCAAGCGUUGUCCGGAAUCAUUGGGCGUAAAGAGCGUGUAGGCGGCCCGGUAAGUCCGGUGUGAAAGUCCAGGGCUCAACCCUGGGAUGCCGGUGGAUACUGUCGGGCUCGAGUCCGGAAGAGGAGUGUGGAAUUCCUGGUGUAGCGGUGAAAUGCGCAGAUAUCAGGAGGAACACCAAUGGCGAAGGCAGCACUCUGGGACGUGACUGACGCUGAGACGCGAAAGCGUGGGGAGCAAACAGG
rnacentral:rRNA from 1 species